UACGUAGGGGCAAGCGUUGUCCGGAUUUAUUGGGCGUAAAGAGCUCGUAGGCGGCUUGUUGCGUCGACCGUGAAAACCCGCGGCUUAACUGUGGGCUUGCGGUCGAUACGGGCGGGCUGGAGUUCGGUAGGGGAGACUGGAAUUCCUGGUGUAGCGGUGAAAUGCGCAGAUAUCAGGAGGAACACCGGUGGCGAAGGCGGGUCUCUGGGCUGAUACUGACGCUGAGGAGCGAAAGCGUGGGGAGCGAACAGG
rnacentral:rRNA from 1 species